rnacentral:rRNA from 1 species
UACAGAGGUGGCAAGCGUUGUUCGGAAUUACUGGGCGUAAAGGGCGCGUAGGCGGCCGCCUAAGUCAGACGUGAAAUCCCUCGGCUCAACCGGGGAACUGCGUCUGAUACUGGGUGGCUUGAAUCCGGGAGAGGGAUGCGGAAUUCCAGGUGUAGCGGUGAAAUGCGUAGAUAUCUGGAGGAACACCGGUGGCGAAGGCGGCAUCCUGGACCGGCAUUGACGCUGAGGCGCGAAAGCCAGGGGAGCAAACGGG